rnacentral:rRNA from 1 species
UACGAAGGGGGCUAGCGUUGUUCGGAAUUACUGGGCGUAAAGCGUGCGCAGGCGGCUUCUCAAGUCAGGGGUGAAAGCCCAGAGCUCAACUCUGGAAUUGCCUUUGAGACUGAGUGGCUUGAGUACGGGAGAGGUGGAGUGGAAUUCCCAGUGUAGAGGUGAAAUUCGUAGAUAUUGGGAAGAACACCGGUGGGCGAAGGCGGCUCACUGGCCCGGUAACUGACGCUCAUGCACGACAGCGUGGGGAUCAAACAGG